rnacentral:rRNA from 1 species
GACGAACGCUGGCGGCGUGCUUAACACAUGCAAGUCGAGCGGAAAGGCCUCUUCGGGGGUACUCGAGCGGCGAACGGGUGAGUAACACGUGAGUAAUAUGCCCUUCACUCAGGGAUAACCUCCGGAAACGGUGGCUAAUACCUGAUACGACGACCGGCCGCAUGGUGUGGCUGUGGAAAGUUUUUGCGGUGGAGGGUGUGCUCGCGGCCUAUCAGCUUGUUGGUGGGGUAAUGGCCUACCAAGGCUUCGACGGGUAGCCGGCCUGAGAGGGUGACCGGCCACACUGGGACUGAGACGCGGCCCAGACUCCUACGGGAGGCAGCAGUGGGGAAUAUUGGACAAUGGGCGGAAGCCUGAUCCAGCAACGCCGCGUGAGGGAUGACGGCCUUCGGGUUGUAAACCUCUUUCAGUACCGACGAAGCGAGAGUGACGGUAGGUACAGAAGAAGCACCGGCCAACUACGUGCCAGCCGCCGCGGUAA